UGGGGAAUAUUGCACAAGUGGGGGGAACCCUGAUGCAGCGACGCCGCGUGAAGGAAGAAGUAUUUCGGUAUGUAAACUUCUAUCAGCAGGGAAGAAAAUGACGGUACCUGACUAAGAAGCCCCGGCUAACUACGUGCC
rnacentral:rRNA from 1 species